rnacentral:lncRNA from 1 species
UUGGAGAGUAUAUCCGAAGGAAGCUCGGAAUGACCUGCAUCAGCAGUUGAAGAGGAGGGUGGCUCGGCAACAUUCUCCUUCUCGAAAAAAGAAAGCUCGGAGGCAAUGUGAACUUCCUCGCCAUCUUCAUCUUCAUCUUCAUCUUCAUAGUCCAAGAAGCCGAGAUCAAGCUUCGGAUGCUCCUCCUUUAUUAACUUUCGACAGUCGACGCAGCC